rnacentral:tRNA from 1 species
GGUCAUGGCUUAGCGGUAGAAUGCAUGCCUAGCACGUGUGAGGCCCUGGGUUCGAUCCUCAGCACCA